rnacentral:rRNA from 1 species
AUACGGAGGGUGCAAGCGUUGUCCGGAUUUAUUGGGGUUAAAGGGUGUGUAGGCGGUGUAUUAAGUCAGUGGUGAAAGCCUGCGGCUCAACCGUAGAACUGCCAUUGAUACUGACACACUUGAGGAUGGACGAGGUAGGCGGAAUUUAUGGUGUAGCGGUGAAAUGCAUAGAUACCAUAAAGAACACCGAUAGCGAAGGCAGCUUACUAGGCCAUAACUGACGCUGAGGCACGAAAGCGUGGGGAGCGAACAGGAUUAGAAACCCUAGUAGUCC